GCCACCGUAGCUCAGUUGGUAGAGCAGCGCCCUCGUAAUGCGCAGGUCGUGGGUUCGUGUCCCACCGGUGGCU
rnacentral:tRNA from 1 species